rnacentral:rRNA from 1 species
UACGGAGGAUGCAAGCGUUAUCCGGAAUGAUUGGGCGUAAAGCGUCUGUAGGUGGCUUUUUAAGUCCACCGUCAAAUCCCAGGGCUCAACCCUGGACAGGCGGUGGAAACUACCAAGCUGGAGUACGGUAGGGGCAAAGGGAAUUUCCGGUGGAGCGGUGAAAUGCGUAGAGAUCGGAAAGAACACCAAUGGCGAAAGCACUUUGCUGGGCCGACACUGACACUGAGAGACGAAAGCUAGGGGAGCAAAUGGG